GACGUACGCUGGCGGCGUGCUUAACACAUGCAAGUCGAACGGAAAGGCCUGCUUUCCCUUGUGGAUUGCGGGUACUCGAGUGGCGAACGGGUGAGUAACACGUGAGUGAUCUGCCCCCAACUUGGGUAUAAGCCUGGGAAACUGGGUCUAAUUCCCGAUAGGACUGCAGGGUGGUGCCUGUGGUGGAAAACGAUUUUCUAGUGGUUGGGGAUGAGCUCGCGGCCUAUCAGCUUGUUGGUGGGGUAAUGGCCUACCAAGGCGGCGACGGGUAGCCGGCCUGAGAGGGUGGACGGCCACAUUGGGACUGAGAUACGGCCCAGACUCCUACGGGAGGCAGCAGUGGGGAAUAUUGCACAAUGGGCGGAAGCCUGAUGCAGCGACGCCGCGUGGGGGAUGACGGCCUUCGGGUUGUAAACUCCUUUCGACCGCGAGGAAGCCACCUGGUUGGAAGGGUGGUGACGGUAGUGGUAGAAGAAGCACCGGCUAACUACGUG
rnacentral:rRNA from 1 species